UUUUAUGAGAGUUUGAUCCUGGCUCAGGACGAACGCUGGCGGCGUGCCUAAUACAUGCAAGUCGAACGCUUCUUUUUCCACCGGAGCUUGCUCCACCGGAAAAAGAGGAGUGGCGAACGGGUGAGUAACACGUGGGUAACCUGCCCAUCAGAAGGGGAUAACACUUGGAAACAGGUGCUAAUACCGUAUAACAAUCGAAACCGCAUGGUUUUGAUUUGAAAGGCGCUUUCGGGUGUCGCUGAUGGAUGGACCCGCGGUGCAUUAGCUAGUUGGUGAGGUAACGGCUCACCAAGGCC
rnacentral:rRNA from 1 species